rnacentral:lncRNA from 1 species
GAAACUUCCACUUUCCAGUUCCCGUACAUUUCCCUAUUCUCCCUCCGGUUGUCCCUUUUGCUCUGCCACCCGGGAUCAGCUCCUCUCCUUCAGGACACUUCACAAAUUCCUAUUUGUACACUUCCAUUCUCAAAGGCUUGGUCUCCAUGCCCACCCCCCAUGCCGAGAGGUGGCGUAGUAAUAAUUGGGCACAAGGUUUGGACUCCAGUGCUCAUCACAGCAGCUGGGAACGACACAGGGCAAAAUCCAAUGCCCUCCAAUACAAAGCUAUAACCAAAUUGUCAUCGUCGUCAUCAGGAAGGGGAAAAAAGACCCGCCUUCAGGACUUGGUCCUUCAAACAUGCAAGUCUGCGAUGCUACUGGGUCACAGCACCAUUUGGCUACGGGGCACGUGAGUAAACCCAUGUCCUUGGCCCCAACGUGGCACUACACCUGAGCAGGGACAUGUCUGCCUGAGACUCGAGCGUUGAAUAUUUCUGUCAGAGGAAGAUCUCUCCAUUUCCCUAGGCAUUUUUUCUGAUAUGUUUCCCUUUCCCUUCCUUAAUUAUCCAUGGUUUUAAACAGAGCUUCUUGUUUUUAAUUAGUUUGGUCUGUUCAGUUACACGUUUUGUCGGGUGUUGUUGUUUUUUUAAAACUCAACCCCCUAAACAAGACUUCAAAGUGGAAAACAUUGCAGAAGCGGUCUGAGGAUGAACACAGCCAGA